rnacentral:lncRNA from 1 species
AUGCCUCAAAAAGAUGUAGAGACCCCAGUGGCCCUGGAACUAUCCUUUUUGGGAAUUGAUAGCAGUCUACAAGGAGCCCAGAACCAAUCUUCUGAAUUGAUGCCUUCACUAGUCAUUUCACUUGCUUCAAUAAACGACAAUAUGGAAGAAGAGUAUGGAGUCAGUCAGAAGUUCUCAGAAACACAGGGAGAAGUCAUAGCAUCUAAAAAACACUCAGUAGUGGUUGCUCAGCAUCAAUCAGAGGCUGAGAGACCCCUUGAGAGAGAGAAACCAUCAGUGGUCCCCCAACGAUGUCAAAGAGAGGGGAAAACGUCCGUAAAUGAACAGGAUGACGUUACUCUGCAAUCUACAGGGCAAUGUUUGGAACAACGUACACGACUCGAUAAAGAAAAAGCAUGUGAAAAAUUAAAAAGUUGCGUGGCAGAAGGUGAGGUUAGUCCCCAGCCUGAGUUGUCAGGACAAGGUAGAAGAGGACGGCCGCCAAAUAAAUCUAAACGUCUGCAACGGCCAGUGAACGAAACUGGAUCGCCGGCUGUUUCAGUAGCAUCUUUAAGUAAAAACUGUUCCUCUAAAAAGAAAAAGACAUCUGAAUCUCAACAACUUUCUAUUGAAAAGGAAAAAGGGACAAUUCAUACUCCAUCCACUGAAGUUUUAUCUGCAAGUAAAACAUUAAACACUCCAACAGGUCAGCCCAGAGAACGCCGCAGUUCUGUAACUCUUCAGGAUGCAAUGCUAUUAGUUGAAGCCAUGAAUCAGUCAACGGUAGAUAUGGCGGUACCACUUAAAACCCAGUGUGCUCCCCAUGUGGUUACCUUACAAACUGUGGACGAGGUCCCAGCUGAGCCACAGACCCCACCACUUCCUCUUGACACUCAUAAAGCUGCGGAAAAACUUAGUGACACUCCAGUGACUACAGAUGCCACUCCAACCAAUGAAGCUCAGGUCCACAACAAUGUUGUCAUACCAAAACAACAGCAUAAGGUCACUCCAUCCCACACUGCUACAUCUUUAAGGUCCUCAUCAACUGUUGCCAUUCAAACAAGUGUGCGGUCACUUCAGCAGCACCCUCCCUGUCUUCUGAGAACAUCGGUAGCAUCCAGCAAACUGGCUAUGGCAGUAUCUCGUAAAAUAAUCCUAGUGCCAAGAUCAGUAUCCUUAUCAAAACGGCAUGAAAUGGCAGCUCGGUGUCCAACCCAGCUUCCUACUGUUUUGUCAAAAGUUAUUGCUGCACAGAGUAUACUCCCAGGCUCUACAACUGCAGGCUUGCCUCUCGGAUCACCUUCCGUUUCCUCUGUUCCUCAGAAAACAAUAUACAUAACGUCCUUGAAAUCGGUUCCUGUUGUUGCUUCACAUUCGACCGCCACCUCAACAGACCCACAGUCAGAGAUCCUACAACACUCAAAAAUAACAAUUAUAAUUCCAAGACAGGUGUCUGCUGUGACAUCAAGGAAACAUCAGUCACAGACCACUGUUCUGAACACCAAGCAGGGGUCAGCCAAAUCAGCUGCUCCUGUUAAGGUGACAACGCCGCAGUUGAUUUCUUCAUCACAUGAGUUAAGCGUUUCUGUGGAUAUACAAACGGCUUCCGAUGUAGUGGCCACAAUGUCUCAAAAGAAGGAUAAAACAUCAGACCCGAACUUGGAAUCUCCCAAACAAACAGACUCUGUUUCUGAACCAAUAAAUGCACCUACCAAAAACUGUUCCUGUUCAAACUCUGCGUCUCCAGCGCUACCUCCAACUGCAGAGCAAAAACUCUCUGCUGUGGUAAGAUUAACCAGGCUCCCUUUUACAGUAUCAGCCAAAGAAGCAGUCUUGGUCUCAAGAACGCCUACAGAUGGAUCUACUGAAACUCAAUUCAUUUCAAAAGAAGCUCUGCCUCUGAAUACCUCUCAGAUGUUAGAAGAGCCAAAUGAUAUUCAAGAGAAGGCAUCAUUAUCCUCUGAAUACUGCACAAUUUUGGAAGAUUCACCCAACAGUGGGCUAUCUACAACAUUCAAGGUGUCGGCACCAGUCUUUGAGAACUCAACAAUAGCCAUCAACACGACUGAGCCUCCAGCUGUAUCUGUUACAACUGGUGAAGCUACUACUAAUUUGGAUGAGGAAUAUAUCAACAUUGCAGUGGAAGCUUGUGCGUCAGCUAAUGGGCCACAAAUAGAAGAGAAACAAUCAGCUUCACUCAUACAUCUAACCCCCAUCACCACCAAGGACACAUCUGAUCCUCAUUCACUGAUGACUAAAGCCCAGUUCCUGGCGCAGCUGGCAGUGACACCUGUUACGCAAGACCCAACAAAGGUAAUGUAA